GCAGGCGCGCCGGGGCGGAGGCCGCCGCGCGUCGUCACGCGCAAUGGAGGCUGUUGUGAGGGCAGGGCCCGGGGACUUAAGUAGUGAAGUUGGACCUCUGUCUCCUCAAGUCUCGCGUGAUCACGUGGUCGGCACCCAGGCGGAAGUCUCCUGCACCUGCUUUGGGAUGAGGAACUUGCUAAGCAUUGCUGGAAAACGCUUGCCCCCAGCGGCGGCUACUCUUCAUUGCAGUGCGCGGCUUGUUAGGAACCAGGCUGCACGGCAGGAGGUGAGUGGCUGGCAAGCAAAGCUUCAUCUGUAUUUAUAGCUGCUCCCCAUUGCUUGCACUACCGCCUGAGCUCCACCUCCUGUCAACAUUAUGAUAUUAAUGGCACAUCAAGUCCUAUUCUAGGCCAGGAGGGUACAGCACAGAACAAAACAGACAAAAUUCCCUUCACUCCUGAAGUUCAUAAGACUGGCUCCGGACACGCAGGCUUAGCGGCCAUGGCUCACAGGCCCAGCCGCUCCGCGGCAUGUGGGAUCUUCCCAGACCGGGGCACGAACCCGUGUCCCCUGCAUCGGCAGGCAGACUCUCAACCACUGCGCCACCAGGGAAGCCCAAGAGAUGGAUCUUACAGCAGCUUUGGAGGCAGAAGUUGUAGGCAUGCUGAACUCGACGUUAAUGUGAUUGGCAAAUCUGGAAGGCACUUCCCGGUCAGAGCCAAGUUCAAGAUGGCAGAAGAAACAGUGUGGGUGACCAGAAGCUAUGAAAGAAAGACAAAGAAUCUAGGGUUCAGGUUCUUUGGGGAGGAAGUAGAAGAGCCUCAAUAACAAACAAAAGGAGGCCUGGCAGUCUUUAAGAGCAUCCAACUCUGAGCAGAGAAUCUGCCUCGGCAGAAAUCACACUGUAUGUGCUUCAGACCUUUUGACAUAACAUCUGACUACAGUAGCCUGGUAUCCUAGCAAUAAAACCCAUGACCUGAGAAAUGGAGUGCUUUCUGCCUGCUCAGGUCAGAGUGCUAUGUGAACACAGUGUAAAUACUAUGAAAUAGAGGUUGUAUAUUGGCAGAAAGGAAUAAAAGAGAUCAGCACUUAGCACCUAAUAAAACAUCAAAGACGGCCACCUGGAGCAAAAUCAUCAAUUUCCUUCGGAAGAUGAAUUUUCUUAAUAGCAUUUGAUUUUUUUUUUUUUUUUUUUUUUUUGCGGUAUGCAGUCCUCCCACUGUUGUGGCCUCUCCCGCUGCGGAGCACAGGCUCCGGACGCGCAGGCCCAGCAGCCGUGGCUCAUGGGCCCAGCCGCUCCGCGGCAUGUGGGAUCUUCCCAGACCAGGGCACGAACCCAUGUCCCCAGCAUCGGCAGGCGGACUCUCAACCACUGCGCCACCAGGGAGGCCCAGCAUUUGAUAUUUUUUUUUAAAUGCUUUUGGCAUGUUUUUUUGGUGAACAGCAUAUAAAAAUGACAAAGCCCUUAGAAACAGCACAUAUGCUUUAGGGAAGCACGUGGAACGCUGGAGAGAAUACAGACUAAUAGUCAGGAUACCUGGGUUUGACCUGCAGUUCUCCUAAGUGCAGAGAUCCCACACCCAAGUCCUUUUUGUUCUCUCCAGGCCUCAAUUCCUCAUGUGUGAAGUGGCGAGUUGGGCGGGGGUGGAAAAGGGUAGGCUGGAUAAUGCCAGGCAUCGUCCCUUACCGCUAUUUAACUCUAUAAAUCUAUGGCUAGUUCUACUGUAUUUGGAAGGCAAACUUACGGUCUGAUUUUCAUUUGAGGAUUGUUAUUAGAUUAUUUGAGGGAAAAGAGUCAGAACUUAGUUCUAUGACGAUCACCACCGCAGCAUCGUCCUCGCUCAUCAGAUGUUAACAGGAAACGUUUGUUGAUAACUCUAAGCCAAGUACUGUGCUUUAUGCAGAUUCUCUCACUUCUCUCUCUUCAUAACAGUCCCCUGAGGUCAUAAUUAUUACGCUGCACAAAUGAGGAAACUAAGGCUUCAGGAGGUAAGGUCAGCUGCCUAAGGUCAUAGCUAGAAAGUGGCAGAGCCAAGAACUGGACCCAGCAGUCUGACUCCCAGAUGUUCUUAACCCGUUUGUCUGAGUCAUAACCUCACAGUCCUCAAACCUCAAGACAGGUUUGCAGGGUGACAGGGGUGGAGAAAAAGGAAGCUGUAAGAAACCCAUAAAGCAACUCACUGUGGAUAAACCAUGUGACUCUGGCUUCAUUAUGUAACUGAAACAGCCCUUAGUUAUCCGAGUUUCCCCAAAUAAACAGUUCCAAUUUCCUUUA